CGAUAGGGUAGAGGCUGCAUUGUUUAAGAGUAGCACAUGCGAGAGUGACGUCAGAGACCAUGUGUGAAAGGAAGCAUUGCCGAAGUCUGACAGGUAUGGUCGAAUUCCUGCUGGCUGGGUUUAUUCCGAAUAGGGAUAAUACUGUCAAUCGUCGGUUCUAAGAUUGAUGAGCUACAAUCGUA
rnacentral:ncRNA from 2 species